ACACAUGCAAGUCGAACGGAGAUAAAGACUUCGGUUUUUAUCUUAGUGGCGGACGGGUGAGUAACACGUGAGCAACCUGCCUCUGAGAGAGGGAUAGCUUCUGGAAACGGAUGGUAAUACCUCAUAAUAUAGCGGUACCGCAUGAUACUGCUAUCAAAGAUUUAUCGCUCAGAGAUGGGCUCGCGUCUGAUUAGCUAGAUGGUGAGGUAACGGCUCACCAUGGCGACGAUCAGUAGCCGGACUGAGAGGUUGAACGGCCACAUUGGGACUGAGACACGGCCCAGACUCCUACGGGAGGCAGCAGUGGGGAAUAUUGCACAAUGGGCGCAAGCCUGAUGCAGCGAUGCCGCGUGGAGGAAGAAGGUUUUCGGAUUGUAAACUCCUGUCUUAAGGGACGAUAAUGACGGUACCUUAGGAGGAAGCUCCGGCUAACUACGUGCCAGCAGCCGCGGUAAUACGUAGGGAGCGAGCGUUGUCCGGAAUUACUGGGUGUAAAGGGAGCGUAGGCGGGAUUGCAAGUCAGAUGUGAAAUGUAUGGGCUUAACCCAUAGACUGCAUUUGAAACUGUAGUUCUUGAGCGAAGUAGAGGUAAGCGGAAUUCCUAGUGUAGCGGUGAAAUGCGUAGAUAUUAGGAGGAACAUCGGUGGCGAAGGCGGCUUACUGGGCUUUUACUGACGCUGAGGCUCGAAAGCGUGGGGAACAAACAGGAUUAGAUACCCUGGUAGUCCACGCUGUAAACGAUGAUUACUAGGUGUGGGGGGACUGACCCCUUCCGUGCCGCAGUUAACACAAUAAGUAAUCCACCUGGGGAGUACGGCCGCAAGGUUGAA
rnacentral:rRNA from 1 species